rnacentral:lncRNA from 1 species
AUCCCACAAAAACCCCACAAAUCCCCAAAUCCCCACCUUGGUGAAGGUUUUGGUGAUGCGGGACUGGAUGUUGUUGGUGGUGGUGCUGAAGUUUUUGCACACCUGGGCCACCAAGCGCGCGGCGAAGUCCCGCAGGGCCCAGUGGUUGUCCACAUCUGGCCGCAGGCACAGCUGGCGGCUGACGAUGCACGUCAUCACCGCCGGGAUCAGCUCGUGCAGCUGUGGAGGGCGCGGGGACAGCGUGGGGACAGUGAGGGGACAGCGUGGGGACAGAGAGGGGACAGCGUGGGGACAGAGAGGGGACAGAGAGGGGACAGNNNNNNNNNNNNNNNNNNNNNNNNNNNNNNNNNNNNNNNNNNNNNNNNNNNNNNNNNNNNNNNNNNNNNNNNNNNNNNNNNNNNNNNNNNNNNNNNNNNNACAGAGAGGGGACAGAGAGGGGACAGAGAGGGGACAGCGUGGGGACAAUGUGGGGACACAUUUCGGACAGUUGGGGACAGGUUUGGGACAUGUUUGGACCCUUGGGGACAGCGUGGGGACACUUGGAGACAUCUGGGGACAGGUUUGGGGCACUUGGAGACAGAUUUGGGGACAUUUGGGACCCUUGGGGACACCAAGGGGACAUUGGGGAGAUGUUUGGGAGAGGUUUGGGAUAGGUUUGGGGACAUUUGGGACUCGUUGGGGAUCCUUGGGGACACGUUGGGGAUAUUGAGGAGAUGUUUGGGACACGUUUGGGACCCUUGGGGACACUCUGGGGACACCAUGGGGACACGGUGGGGACAUCAUGGAGAUGUUUGGGACAGGUUUGGGGCACUUGGAGACAGAUCUGGGGACAUCUGGGACCUUUGGGGACAUUUGGGACCCUUGGGGACACCACGGGGACACGUUGGGGACAUCGGGGACAGGUUUGGACCCUUGGAGACACGUUGGGGACACUUGGGGACAGGUUUGGGACAGAUUUGGGGCAGGUUGAGACACGUUUGGGACCUUUGGGGACACAUUGGGGACAUCGGGGACAGGUUUGGGACAGGUUUGGGGCAGUUGCAGACAGAUUUGGGGACAUUUGGGACACGUUUGGGACAGUUGGGGACAGGUUUGGACCCUUGGAGACACGUUGGGGACAUUUGGGACAGGUUUGGGACAGAUUUGGGGCAGGUUGGGACACGUUUGGGACCCUUGAGGACACAUUGGGGACAUCGGGGAGAUGUUUGGGACAGGUUUGGGACAGGUUUGGGGCAUUUGGAGACAGAUUUGGGGACAUCUGGGACCUUUGGGGACACCAAGGGGACAUUGGGGAGAUGUUUGGGACAGGUUUGGGACAGGUUUGGGGCAGGUUGGGACGGAUUUGGGGACAUUUGGGACCCUUGGGGACACGUUGAAGGCAUCUCAGACACAUUUGGGACAGUUGGGGACAGGUUUGGGGACAUUUGGGACCCUCAGGGACACUUGGAGACAUCUGGGACAGGUUUGGGGCACAUUUGGGACGGAUUUGGGGACAUUUGGGACCCUCAGGGACACUUGGAGACAUCUGGGACAGGUUUGGGGCACAUUUGGGACGGAUUUGGGGACAUUUGGGACCCUCAGGGACACUUGGAGACAUCUGGGACAGGUUUGGGGCAGGUUUGGGGCACAUUGGGACGGAUUUGGGGACAUUUGGGACCCUUGGAGACACCAUGGGGACAUGUUGGGGACAUUUGGGACAGGUUUGGGACAGGUUUGGGGACAUUUGGAACACGUUGGGGACCCUUGGGGACAUCGGGGAGAUGUUUGGGACCGGUUUGGGGACAGGUUUGGGGACAGUUGGGACCUUUGGGGACACGUUGGGGACAUCGGGGAGAUGUUUGGGACCGGUUUGGGGACAGGUUUGGGGACAGUUGGGACCUUUGGGGACACGUUGGGGACAUCGGGGAGAUGUUUGGGACAGGUUUGGGCACUUGGAGACACUUUGGGGACACUCUGGGGACACCUUGGGGACAGUUUUGGGACAGCUGGGGACACUUUGAGGACACAUUUGGGACACACUGGGACACGUGGUGGGACACAGGAGACAGGAAGGUGACAGGAGGUGACACAGGGAGGUGACACAAAGGUGACACAGAGGUGACACCAAUGAGGUCACUCACGUAUUUCUCCAGGUAGAGGGUGGGGUUGUCCAUCAGGGACAGGAGGUGACACAGGGAGGUGACACAGGUGGCACAGAGGUGACACAGGGAGGUGACACACAGGUGACAGAGGUGACAAAGG